rnacentral:rRNA from 1 species
AUUAUUAGAUAUAUUCUUUAAAUUUAAAGAAUUUGGCGGUAAUUUAGUCUUGUUAGAGGAACCUGUUUUUUAAAUGAUAAUCCACGCAAAAUCUUGCUUAUUUUUGUUAAAUCAGUUUGUAUACCGUCAUUAUCAGAUAAUUUUCAAAGAAGUAAUUAUUAAACUUAAUAAUUUAGUAAAAUUAGAUCAAGGUGCAGCUAAUAAAUAAGUUAAAAUGGGUUACAAUAGAUUUUAUUUAUACGGAAAGAUAAGGAAAUUUUUGAUUUUAAGGUGGAUUUAAUUGUAAUAUAAGUUUAAUAUGCUUAGGAGAUAUAAGCUCUAAAUUAU